GCUCCAUUUUCCUGAGACUGGGGGAGUGAAGAGUAAUUCUAUGUGAAUCCUGGUCAACAUUCAGCCCUUUUUUACUUUGAUAAGAAUAGCAAGACCCCACUUCAGGAAAACCAUACUAUGAACUGCAAACCCCUCUUGGAGUUCAUAAGGGUAAAAAAAGUCAAAAUGGGGUCCCAUUUUGCACAGUCGUCCCAUCCAGGUGAAAACUCUAUUACUAUGGCCUUUUAGAAACUCAUUGGCCAAGGCUGAUCCCUGACACUAGCCCAGCUUAUUUGAAUUCAAGUGUAUUAAGACCUAAGAUUUCACAGGCAUUUAGCCUGGUUGACAAUGGUACCUUAAUAUUGGGGAGAUAUUUAAACUUAGCUGCACAAUUUUGUCUGGUCCUUACUGAAACCGUGGGUAAUUAGUCAAAUCCAUUUCACCUGCCUUCACUAAUCAAGGUCAUUUUAAGAUUGGCAUGUCCUCCAAGGCAUGUGCCUGAGCUGUUGUAUAGGAACUUGGAGUCAGCUGUGUCUUGCAAGAGCUGUGCUCAUUAAGGCUAGAAUGGAAAACUGACCCUCCAACUGGGCAUGCGUGAGUGUCCGCUUGCUCCUGAUCUUUUGAACGUGCAGCGGCUUAGCCUGGUUACGCCUGUGCAGAACUACGAUUACCACACCUUAUCGCCAUCACCUUUCCCCAUACCGCCCACGGUCCCCAUGCCUCAGACUGCCUGCCUCUUCAUUCCUCAUUCCAUAAAUAGCCCAACCCCUUGCCUUUGGGGAGGAGGGGGUGAGAUUUGUUCUUGCAUCUUGUGCUUGGCUGUUUUGCGACUAGACCCUCUCUUUGCUGCGAACCUCAGCUCUCAGCGUUUUGGGUGCUGCGCAUCAGAGUCACUGGGACUGUGGGACCUGCUCUCAAAGGGUGGCCAAGAGAGUGUCAUAGGAGACCACGGCCAAGAAUCACCCAUCUGAACAUGCCCCUGAGUAAAGGACAGUCCUCCACAGUUUUAAGAGAGCUGUGACUACAGCAGGACACUAAUCCCCUACAAGGACUAAAUGGCAAAGCCUCUGACUGCAAACAGACGUGACCUGGUCCCUCUAAAAGAAAACCUGGUGAGUAAAGCAGAAAGUCUUGCUGUCCCCCCCACCCCUGCCACCAGUGUAUACAGGAACUGGGCAGCUGAGCCCACCUCUUGGUGGGAAGGCUGGUGGUGUGUGCUGAUAUUUCAGUAGUUAGAGAAUUCUGCCACUGGUGUUCCAUAACCAUGGACUCUUUCCCUGGGUUGUGUUAAUUGGUGGGCUCUAAGGCAGCUCUUGGGACCCACCUGUAGUUAGUUUUAUACCCAUCACUUUGGCUCCAAGGAGGUCUUGCAGCUCCCAGGCUCCUAGUUUCUAAACACAUGGCCUUAAGAUUAUGGCCUAUUGGUAGGGGAAAAAAUAGGAAAGGCCCAUCUCAAAAGGACAGUUACUUUGAUAGAGAUUUAUUCACAACCUGUUCCUUCUCUUUUGCCUACUACUUACAACUUUUAGGUGUUAUCAGACCAUACUUUAAUUUGCAUGUCUACUCAUCUAUUUAAAAGUAGUGAGUCUCAGAGUUCCUGUCAUGGCUGAGUGGUAAUGAACCCAACUAGUGUCCAUGAGGAUGUGGGUUUGAUCCCUGGCCUUGCUCAGUGGGUUAAGGAUCCAGCAU